UGAGCAGCAGCCAAACAAAUCCACAUGUUGCAUCUUUCAAAUAUGUAUAAAUUAACUUUCACUUUAAGAUGGUAAACGUCAUUAUGUUCCCUUUCUUUCAAGGCUCACUGAUAAUUCUUUUUUCCCUUCAGUGACCAGUCUAACCCUUUAAUUGGUCUUGUGAAACCUACUGGACCUCAUUUGAAAAACGGAGGCAUUUCCGCAGCCGCCUUUCACCUUCUGCCUGGUAGCUGCCUGACUGCUGGGCCUCACCUCCCAGAAGGGCCAUCUCCCCGGCCAGCGACCUGGCGACCCCACCCUUGGGCCUCUCCCCGGGCCGGGCUCGGCUAGGCUGGGCUAGGGUUCCUGCGUCAGUCCGUCCUCAGACAUGGGCUGUGUCCUUCAUGCUCCCACGCAGCCCUUGAGCUUGACUUCGGGGACUUCUGGCCUCUCCCUUCCCUACCAGACUUUUUGAAAUCAGGCCUCGAACACCUUCUGUGCCAUUCCUGGGUCUCACUGACUGUGUGGUUCUGACCCGCCUUGCAGAUCGGGGAGAGCUUUCAGGUGGAAGGCGGGGACUCAGAGCUGAGCCUGGGGCUGGAGCUGUUUGCUUGUUCGUCCUGCCAUGGCGGUCCCUGCUGCUGGGGGUUUCCAGCAGGUCCCCCAUUCCUCCGCCCUGUUUCCAUGAAAGACCCACUGUCGGUGUGAACUGCCCGUCUCCUGCCGGUUUAUGCUCUGCUGCCGUCCCAUCACCAUGGGGACAGUUCUGAGAAAUUGUGAGAAUGAAGGCCGGGGGGAGGCGGCCAGGCUCAGCCAGCAUUGCAGCCUCUGGGCCAAGCUGACUCCUCGGCUGGGAGUGGCCUCUGACCUCCUUCCUCCUCAUUAAGUCAUGGAACUUCUGCCUUGUAAGGAGGUGCUAAUUAUUCACCAUUGAAAAGGCAUCUUAAAUUGCAAAAGACACUAUAGCAGAGAAGACAACAGCAAGUGGGUGUGAAGAUGGCUGAGAAGAGAAUGCCCCUGGGCUGCUGCGGCCUAAUGCGGAGCUGGGAGCUGUCGGAGCUGGGAGCUGUCGCCUCCUCCUGGGCCAUCCCAGCCUCCUCCUCCUGGGCCCUCCUGGGCCUUCUUGGCUCCUUCCUCCUGGGCCCUCCAGGCCUCCUCACGUGAUCCCUCCCGGCCUCCUCGUUCUCAGCCCCCCGAACCUCUUCGUCUUCCUGGACCCCACAAGCCGCCUCACAUGCUUUCCCCCCACCCCGCCUGGUCUCUCUUGGCCCUGUCAGUCUCACCUCCUACCAUUCAUCCUUAACAAUUGACAGCAGCAGAAGUCAGAUAAACCUCCAGGUGGACACAGGCAGGUCCCCAGGGAAACCCAACCUCCAAACCAAAGACAGCUUCACGUCUGAAAGCCAAACCACAUGUCUCGGAUGAAUCCACAGACGGGAUUGAGAACCUCUUUUCCUGUUUGGCAUGCUUUCCUCUGAUUGGCCCCCACCCUUCACCUAUUUUACAUAUUCCCACUCCUCCCUAAUUGGUUUUUGACACUGCUGUGCCCAUCUUUGAGUUGUACCUUUUUUUUUUAACCUUUUUUGCAUAGUCACAAACCAAUCAACAUGCACUCCCCCAUUCUGAGUCCAUAAAAGCCCCAAACUCAGCCACACUGGGGGACCACCUGACUGAGGGUAGGGGGCUGCCCUCUCCGGGUCCCCUCUCUGCUGAGAGCUGUCACUCAAUAAAACUCUCCAGCUGGGUGCAGUGGCUCACGCCUGUAAUCGCAGCACUUUGGGAGGCCGAGGCAGGCGGAUCACGAGGUCAGGAGAUUGAGACCAUCAUGGCUAACACGCUGAAACCCCGUCUCUACUAAAAAUACAAGAAAAAUUAGCUGGGCGUGGUUGGCGGGCGCCUGUAGUCCCAGCUACUCAGGAGGCUGAGGCAGGAGAAUCGCUUGAACCCAGGAGGUGGAGGUUGCAGUGAGCUGAGAUCGUGCCAUUGCACUCUAGCCUGGGCAACAGGGCGAGACUCCGUCUCAAAAAAUAAAAACAAAAAAAACUCUGCCCUGCUCACCCUUCAGUUGUCAGGCCAGGCAGGGGCAUCGCCAGCCUCGGGGGUCUCCAGCUGGCAAAGAGGCACCGAGAAGUCUUUCAUCACAAUGAAUCUUCUCAUAUGUCUAAUCUGGGGGCUGUUUAUAUGUAGAGUAAUAUUCUUUCUUAAGUGCGUUCUUUUCUGAUUUGUCUUUUUCACUUCGUGUCUGUGAGAUUUGCUUCAGUUGCUAUACAGCGUUCUGUUGUCUGGAUAUACUGCGGUUUAUGUACCCACGAUUUAUUCAGUAUUAACAGACGUUUGGCUUGUCCCAGGCUGCUGUUGUGAGCAGUCUUUGCAGCACCCUGCUGUACCCUGGAGCCGGGAGGGCUGCCCUGAUCUUCUGUGCGGGCAGCUGCUGGGCUCGGGGUUCCCCACAUGGCAGGUCGAUGGCAGACGAUGGCAAGGGUCUUCCCAGGUGGCUGGCCAGAGGUUACUCCAGCAGCACACGCCGCCUCUCCUGCCCGGAGCUCUUGCCAUGGCUGCAUGUCGCUGGACGCUGGAAUUUCUGCUUACCCAGUGUGAGACAAGAAUAGCACUGGGUGGUCACAGGAGGACGGAAAACCCAGGCAACAGCGAAGACAGGAACGUGGCAAAGUAACCACAGGGCGGCAGAAAACCCAAAGCGAGGGAGAGAGAAGGCGAACCCACCAGCGUGAUGUGUCCUCUGUUCUCCCGGGAAAACCCGAGUAAGAGACAACGAGGCUGUGUUGGGGGUUACCUAAAAAUCCCCUCCUUUCCCAGAAUACCUGAUGAUGAUCCCGCACUGUCACUAAAGAAACACCCGCAAAAGAACACAAACUCCUCUGUGCGCGCUUCCUUCUGAACGGGGCUCCUCCUCCUGAGCGAGCCGCCUCCUUCUGAGCGCCCCUCCUCCUCCUGAGCGCGCCUCCGUCUCCUGAACGCGCCUCCUUCUGCUGUGCGCGCCGCCUAACCCUGUGCGCGCCUCCUCCUGUGCGCGCCUCCUUCUCCUGUGCGCGCCUCCUCCUCAGCUCGCCUGGCUUCUCACUUAGGCGUGUGCUUUCGCUUUGCAGCAAAAGCUGCUGCUUUUCGCAUCUAAAUUCUUGCUCUGAAGGUGCCAAGAACCUGGAAACCGGCUGGGAGUGGGGUCUCACCAGCCUUUGGAGACCCUCCUGAGCCGUCUGGCAACCAGUGACGAUACAGAGGUGUCUUAUGAUUUCGUUUGCGUUUUCCUGGUUAAACAUGAGGUGGUUAUUGCUUGUGUUUAAUCAGAUACGCUUUACUGUCAUAAGCCUAAUUUGCAUUUAUUAUCUCUUCGCUAUUAUUUUGUACAGGAUCUUUUGGAUUCAUGUUCUUGCGUGAUUGAUUUCUCAGGAACUUUCUGAGUUUGGUUUUGGUGUGCCAGCUCCACAGAAUGAGCUAGGGAGAGCUUUCUCUGUUUCUAUACCUGAAUGCUUGGUGUAAUAUUUUAAAUUAGGUAUAUGAUUGAUUUUGAGUAUAAAACCAGCCUUGUAUGUCAGGGAUAAAUCCCAUGAUGUAUACUCUUUUUGUUGUGUUGUUGAAUUUGGUUUGCUAAUAUUUUAUUGAGGAGUUUUGCAUCAAUUUUCAUUAGAGAAGUGGGCCUUUAGUUUUUUGUUUGUUUCUGUUUUGUUUGUUUUUGUAUUUGUUUUUUGGAACUGAAUGAAGUGCACUGUGUUCUCUCAAAGGAGAUUUGCGUUGCUUUCUAGGGGUUUGGGUGCACAAAUCCACAGCUUCCGGCCUUUUAAGCCACUUGUCAAGGUCACUCUGACUGCAGGGCCAGCAGCCUGGGACCAGUACAGACCAUCACGGCACAGGCUUCCUGGGCUAGUCGGAGAAGGUGAAGCUCGCAUAGUGGCCAGGGACUUGGCCUUUCUGCCCUCACCUCCCUGAGGCCACACAAAUCCUCAGCCUGUGUGGCUGGAGGUGCCGCCAUCCACAGCUCACCUCAGUUUCAAUAUCUUGUCCUCAUUUUCUUUUCCCUUUUUACAAAAUGAAGCACAUAUUUCUUCUGGCUUUUGUGGCGUUUCUCUGUGGGAGAGGCCAUCUGAAUACCUAACCAGUGUGUUACCCAGAUAAUGAAAGUUAGCAUUCACUUUUUAAAUAGCAGUACCCUCAAAAAAUUGAAAAAGUCCUAUGUAGUAAUGAUGCUAAUGAAGAAUUGAAAGUGUUUAUUAGGUAAAUAAUAUGGUCUUGCACAUUGUUUAUGUGGUAAAGACUGAUUUUUGUAGUCUUGUAAAAGACAUUUUCUGUUCAUUUACUUUUUUCAUUAUAAGAUAUGUAUAAAAUAAAACUUGCCAUUUUAACCAUUUUUAGGUGUAUGGUUCAGUGGGAUUCCAUACCCUCACAUUGUUGUGCAAUGUAAAAAAGCCUUUUUGAACCAUUUGCUUAAUUAAUAACAAAGGAAUUUAUAUGUAUAUAUACAUUUCUAGUAAAAAAUUUUUGGAAACCUUGACUAACCAAUAUUAAUUAAAAUGGCUAAUAGUUGGAAUCAUACUAGACUGUUCAGAUGGUUUUCCAAGGUUCUGACUGUUUCCAUGGAAAGAAACUCCCCUGUGAGAGUGGGCUCCAUGCUGAGUGGCGAGCAGUGCCUCCUGCGUGUCCAACCCACGGGGUCCGCUCGUCUUGUCUGCCGCCAUGGACGGCUGCGCAUUUGGGAAGUGAGAUCUGUGCACACAACCUGUCGUGAAGGAGACACGAGUCUCCUGAUUUCACCUUUAAAACUUAACAUGUUUGUUUCUUUAGCUUUUCUUCUUACAUACGCUUCAUUUAGAUCACUCCUUAAAAGUGGAAUUUUUAAACUUUUUGUCAACAAGGGUCAUCUCGUUUCAGACUAGCAUAUGUGAUGUACUGUGGUUCGCAACUAACGAUAGCAUUUAGAGUUUAGAACAAAACCUUCAG
rnacentral:lncRNA from 10 species